rnacentral:rRNA from 1 species
UACGGAGGGAGCUAGCGUUGUUCGGAAUUACUGGGCGUAAAGCGCUCGUAGGCGGCUUUGUAAGUUAGAGGUGAAAGCCCGGAGCUCAACUCCGGAACUGCCUUUAAAACUGCAUCGCUUGAAUCCAGGAGAGGUGAGUGGAAUUCCGAGUGUAGAGGUGAAAUUCGUAGAUAUUCGGAAGAACACCAGUGGCGAAGGCGGCUCACUGGACUGGUAUUGACGCUGAGGUGCGAAAGCGUGGGGAGCAAACAGG